GCUGGAUGUGGUGGUGUGCAUCUGUAGUCCCAGCUACUUGGGAGGCUGAGGCAGGAGAAUUGCUCGAACCCGGGAGGCGGAGGUUGCAGUGAGCUAAGAUCGUGCUACUGCAUUCCAGCCUGGGUGACAGAGUAAGAUUCUGUCUCCA
rnacentral:SRP_RNA from 1 species